UACGUAGGGGGCAAGCGUUGUCCGGAAUCAUUGGGCGUAAAGCGCGUGUAGGCGGCUCGGUAAGUCCGCUCUGAAAGUCCAGGGCUCAACCCUGGGAUGCGGGUGGAUACUGCCGGGCUCGAGUCCGGAAGAGGCGAGUGGAAUUCCUGGUGUAGCGGUGAAAUGCGCAGAUAUCAGGAGGAACACCGAUUGCGAAGGCAGCUCGCUGGGACGUUACUGACGCUGAGACGCGAAAGCGUGGGGAGCAAACAGG
rnacentral:rRNA from 1 species